rfam:Streptomyces uncialis strain DCA2648 scaffold2, whole genome shotgun sequence.
UUCGCAGCCGUGUUCCAAUCCGGCUGAUACACACUCAAGUUCAGGGGAAGCCGGUCGAACUCCGGCGCUGACCCGCAACCGUAGGCCCGUCGCACCGCGGACGGGCGAGCCGGACUGCCUGGACUUGGCUCUACGCAGCG